CCUCGCAGCCCGGCGCCCCGCGCCGCCGCUCUCGCCCGAGGAGCAGGAGGGGUUCGGGGCGGUACCUGGGACGGCCCCGCUGACGCCUGGAGCUUUUGGGAUGGGUGAAGGCAAUUGUAAAAGAAAAUGCUACAGAUGAGGUGUUGUUUUGUUUUGUGUUUUAAGGACCGAAGGGGAAAGCCAGGGAAAUAUGGUGACGGUUGUUGGAACUAUCAUUUAGGUUUGCCGCGUUUUAAGGCUGAACUGAGAGCACCAUCGCUCAGAAACCAAGGCUGGCAGAAAGGAAGCAGGUCAUUUCAUAAGGAGAGAGAGCUGCCUUCUUCAUCGUUCUCAUACUCUUUUGAACAUGGACGUUGGGCAGGGUACUUGCUGGCUGCUACUGGAGAUUCAACUAUUUUAAAGGAUGGUUUAGUAGAAAAGAUAUAAUUUUUCCUAAAAGUACUGAUGAGGUUCCUGUGCUCUUAUUCAUACCUGUCUAUAUUAUAACAUAUAUGACAUUAUGGUAUUUUUUUCUGAUUUAAUUCUUCCUUCAGUUGAGCUCUAGGAAGACAGGGUAAUUCAUUCACGUAUUUUGUAGGGUCGUAAAAGUACAUUUCUUAGUAAAGUUUUAGAUUUAUAGGGAAAUUAAGAUAAUAGUACAGGUUGAGCCUCCCUGAUCUGAAAUCUGAAAUGCCUUCAACAUGAUGCCAGAAAUGGAAAAAUUCUACACCUGACCUCGCAUGGCAGACUGCGGUCAAAACUGAAAUACACUAAAAAUAUUGUAUACAAUUUUCUUUAGACUGUGUGUAUAAGGUAUAUGUAAAAUAAAAGAAUUUCAUGUUUAGAUUUCAGUCCCAUCUUUGAAAAAUCUCAUUAUGUGUAUGCAAAUAUUUCAAAAUCUGAAAAAACAAAAAUUACUUCUGGUCCAAAGUGUUUGGAUAGGGGUAUGCAAAU
rnacentral:lncRNA from 1 species